rnacentral:lncRNA from 1 species
GGGGUAUUUUUCUUGUCAAAGUUGAGAUGUUCAGUAAGAUCCAUAUUACUGGAAAAGAGAAUGGAAAUUAGUAUUCCAAGGUAAUAUUCCUUUUCAACAUUUUCUUCACAAUAUGAAGUGAUUUCUUCACAAUAUAAAAACUAUUUGUCCUGAUAUAUAUAUUUUUAUAAUUCCUAUUUUUUUAUCUUACUUUUGUUGUACGUACAUUUAUAGACACAUGUACACAAAAAAAAACUCCCUGCAGAGGAAGAGCCUCAUGCAUGGAACUUGGAUAAACAGUUGUUGUGUCCUAAGUGGACUUCAAGCAGGAUGUGUUUGCCAAGGUCCAUUUUGAGCCUGAAGGGGGACCCUUUUUCUAUGUCAAAAUGGGGGCUAUGCAAUUCCACAC